rnacentral:rRNA from 1 species
AUCCUACGGGGGGCAGCAGUGGGGAAUAUUGCACAAUGGGAGAAACCCUGAUGCAGCGACGCCGCGUGAGUGAAGAAGUAUCUCGGUACGUAAAGCUCUAUCAGCAGGGAAGAAAAAAAGUCUUUGGCUUUGGACGGUACCUGACUAAGAAGCCCCGGCUAACUACGUGCCAGCAGCCGCGGUAAUAUGUAUGGAGCAAGCGUUAUCCGGAUUUACUGGGUGUAAAGGGAGCGUAGGCGGUAAGGCAAGUCUGAUGUGAAAGGCCAGGGCUCAACCCUGGGACUGCAUUGGAAACUGUUUAACUG